UACGUAGGCAGCGAGCGUUGUUCGGAAUUACUGGGCGUAAAGAGUGUGUAGGCGGUGCUCUAAGUUCGGUGUGAAAUCUCCUGCUUAACUGGGAGGGUGCGCCGGAAACUGGAGUGCUCGAGCGUGGGAGAGGAAAGCGGAAGUUCCUGGUGUAGCGGUGAAAUGCGUAGAUAUCAGGAGGAACACCUGUGGUGUAGACGGCUUUCUGGACCAUAGCUGACGCUGAGACACGAAAGCGUGGGUAGCAAACAGG
rnacentral:rRNA from 1 species